ACGUAGGGUGCGAGCGUUAAUCGGAAUUACUGGGCGUAAAGGGUGCGCAGGCGGCCCCGCAAGUCAGGCGUGAAAUCCCCGGGCUUAACCUGGGAAUGGCGCUUGAAACUACGGGGCUGGAGUAUGGCAGAGGGAGGUGGAAUUCCACGUGUAGCGGUGAAAUGCGUAGAGAUGUGGAGGAACACCGAUGGCGAAGGCAGCCUCCUGGGCCAAUACUGACGCUCAUGCACGAAAGCGUGGGGAGCAAACAGGAUUAGAUACCCUGGUAGUCCACGCCCUAAACGAUGAUGACUAGUUGUUGGAGGAGUUAAAUCCUUUAGUAACGCAGCUAACGCGAGAAGUCAUCCGCCUGGGGAGUACGGUCGCAAGAUUA
rnacentral:rRNA from 1 species